rnacentral:rRNA from 1 species
UGGCGACCGGCGCACGGUGCGUAACGCGUAUGCAACCUACCUUUAACAGGGGGAUAACACUGAGAAAUUGGUACUAAUACCCCAUAAUAUCAUAGAAGGCAUCUUUUAUGGUUGAAAAUUCCGAUGGUUAGAGAUGGGCAUGCGUUGUAUUAGCUAGUUGGUGGGGUAACGGCUCACCAAGGCGACGAUACAUAGGGGGACUGAGAGGUUAACCCCCCACAUUGGAACUGAGACACGGUCCAA